GCAUAAUUGCUCGUCAGAGUUCAUAAACUCCGGCGGCUUCUCAACUGCCACCAGAGGCUCGAUUAGUCCUUCCUUGGCCUCCCCUGAGGUUGAUUUGAUCUCCUCUCCACCGUCCCAUGCUCUCCUUCCUCCAGGUGCCCCCGCAACCUCAGAUCCGAUCUUCUUCCCCAACUCUGGCGACUACUCCAGUGAGAUCAAAGAAAUCACGUAAUUCUUUUUUUUUCCGAAAAGUAUCAAUUUAGAAAAUGCAUAUCUAUUAGUAUACUUUUCCAAAUUUAGUGAUUCUUUUUGCUAUAUUUUCAAAUUUUUAUGAAGUUUGAGUUUAUGCCUUUAGUAUCAAAAUUUGAGUAUUUUAAAUUUGAAUUGGCAUGAAUUUUCUCAAACCUUGAAUUGUGAAUAUCUUGAGUUUAAACGCAUAUUUUAAGUUGAUUCUUUUUGCUCCUGGUCACUAGGACCUUUGCCUAUCAAGUAGUAUUUAGUAUUUACUAGCGUAUCCCGCACGGCGGCACGCCGUGCCCAUCCGUCCGCUGCUCCAUAUGUAUACAUCACAUCAUUUGUAUCAAGAGCAUCUCAAGGAAAGAUUAUGUGUGAAGGUAAAUGGUUUCAUUAAUAAUAAUUUUACAUAGGACACGCUCCUAAAAGAGAAAACAGAUAUCAAUACCUUCCAAAGAUUGAUAUUAUGACUAAAUGUAACUUGUAAAAAAUAACAACUGCCUUAAAGCAACUGUCUAGAUCAUUCUGGUAUAACCUCCUAUUGGGCUAGUGCCAAUGAUGAAGUGAUAGAGUGCUUUUGCAAAAUGUUGCAGCCAUCCUACAGGUGGAUGACAACCCGUGAAACUAAUAAUGCGAUCUUCAGUGUACGUACGCUCGGUGUACAUACGUAGUGGCACCACAUCAAAAAAGCCAUCGCAUAUGCGCACUAGGAUUUAUGUUUGCCUUGUGGAUUCAGCUCGCUAAGUGGUCACUUCCUGCCUAGCCAUAUUAAAUUGCCAUUUCUUGGUGCGUAUCUUAUCUUGAGCUAUAAAUAGUAUGCUGAUGAUACAGUUAUCUGUUUUGAACAUGACAGAGAGGCGGCUGAAUCUCAAACUUCUGUUAUACAUGUUCGAGCUUAUGUCAGGGCUAAAAAUCAUCUUCAUGAAAAGUGAGAUCCUCUAUGUUGGGGGAGACAAUGAAACUAUAUCCUUUUAUUCUGGGCUUUUUAAUUGUAGCAUUAGUCACUUCCACACGAAAUACUUGGGGUGCUAGUUAGCUUCUCAACUGUCCGAAUCCUGGACUGGGAGUUUGUGGAUGAAAGAAUCCUGAAAUGUUGUGAGUCUUGGAUUGGCAAUGCAGCCUCUUUGGGUGGGUGACUGAUUCUCCUUAAUUCAUUGCUCACUAGUAUUAUUUACUACUAUAUGUCCAUGUUCUUACUUUCAAAAGGGGUGAUUGAAAAACUAGACGAGCACCACAAGCAUUUUUUCUGGCAAAACACAUGAGGGGCGUAAACGUUACCAUUUGGUGAAAUGGUCCAAAAUUUGUCGCUCGGAAGAGAAAGGGGGCCUGGGGAUAAAAGACCUUCAUAAACAAAAUAUUAGGCUACUCAUCAACUGGCGGUGGAAGCUUGAAACACAGCAAGGGUUGUGGCAAGAUGUGAUUCGGGCAAAAUAUUUUAAGGAAGACACGGUGAGAUCAGUGAAAUUAAAUUUGGUGAUUCCCCGAUUUGGAAGGCCAUUAUGAAAGGUAAAGAAUACUACCUUGCUAGCAGAAAGGUGGUGUUGAAAUAUGGCAACCUUGCUAGAGUGUGGGCUGACUCAGUUGAUAAUGAGCCUCCCCUGCAUUUGCAAUUCCCUAUGUUAUACCGUAUUUGCAAUAAUGAUGUGAUCACUGUUGCAAAAAUCAGAGAGGGAGUGUAGGCCAACUUCUUUAGUAGACACCUCCACCCUCCUCUGCUUGAUAACUGGAGACUUCCAAGCCAUAGUGGGUCAUGGUCUCUCUCUAGUGAGCCUGACCAAGUCGUUUGGAGCCUUGGAAAAAAGAAAUAUAAAUUUACAACUAAAUCUGUGUCGGGGGUUGGGUACGACAUAUGCCAAAGGAUGGCUUAUCAUGGUGGGAGCGAGUAGAAUGUCGCCGGUGCCUGGAAGCGGGAUGAGGCGAAGACAUGCACGCCGGCGGAACUUACCCAGCUUCAGGGCUCUCCUAGGAGAUAACACCCCUACUGCUGCUCUGCGGGGUCUCCGCAUGAUCAUUAAGGAAAAGUAGCUACAAUGGUGCUCCUGGAGCUGUUUCGGGAGGCAGGUCCCUGUGCUAUCUGGUCUAUCUCUAUCUAGGUCCGAACCCUUUGCAUGGCUGCCCUGAGGGGUUUAUAUAGGCCUACCCCCCGGGGGUACAAUAGUAAUCCGGCUGGGCGCGGGUCCCAGCCGUCUGUCUCUCAGGCCGCCGUCUUUCCCGCUGGCUUCUAGGGCCCACCGACUGGCGGGUCCCGCGGACAGGCUUGAUACUGUAGCGACACCCUUGAUGAUGCAGGCUCGGUCAUUGGGUCAUGGCAACAGUGCCGCCGUCUAUCGGGAGAUCACUGUCGCCAUUCCCCAUCCUAUCUGGUUAAUGGCUCAUGGGGCCCUGGGGAGGAGUCGGCCGACUCCUGGGGGGCCGACUCCCACAGGUCCGUCUUUGGGGCGCCCAGGCCGCCUUCGGCCCACCCACUGACAGGCGGCCCCACCGUCUUCGGGCCGUUCAGGCCGGCAUCGUGGGCACAGUGUACUGUGCACUGUGGCUGAGGUCAGGACAGGCAUGGCAACAGUGCCGCAUCUCGCCGGAGAUCUUCCAGCGAUACGGCUCACUGUAGCCAUGUCGGUCCUUCGUAAGCAGGGGGAAACGGCCAUGCCGUGACCAUACCCCACAUCGUACUUCGAUAUGAGGGAGGAGUCUUGGGCCGACUCUCCACAGUCAGCCUCUCUGGAGGUCACCAGCGUGGAGUCGGCUUAUGUUGGAGUCGCCGUCUAGGACUCGGCCUGAGGGGCGCAGCCUGCCCCGAUGUCUUGAAAUGUCCUGGGACUCGGGUUAGCCUACCCGUGGCCCAUUAGUCUGACAAUCUGCCUAUGAGUACUUGGAGAAAAUUUUGGCUGGAUGCAAUUACAAGUGGAUUUGGAGAUCAAAAAUUCCUCUUAAGGUUCAGAUCUUCAUAUGGCAGUUGUUGCAGGAUGCUGUAUUAACUAGAGAUGCUAUGAGCAGAUCCAAAUGGUUGGGGAACCCUACUUGUUCCUUUUGUGAUAGUAGAGAAACCUCCCAACACGUAUUCUCUACCAGUCCAGUGGCUAGAGUCCUCUGGAGGACUGUUAGCUGUGUCCUGGGCAUGGAUUUAUGUCCUAAUAAUAUUUGGUAAUUUUCUAUUAGUGCUACAUGUUCCUUCUAAAUGGGGAGAAGUUUUAUACCUUUGGAUUAGUUGCGUUGUGUUGGGCGAUAUGGAAUAGUCGUAACAGAACCACCUUUGAGUUCAAAAAGAUGAGAUCCCCAUUUGAUGUAGUAUACUCUGCAUGUGGUUACCUUACUUAUUGGGCAGGUCUGCUGAUCGGAGAGGACUGGGAGGCAAUGGAGCAUGGAGCUAAGAUGGUGAGGAUCAAUGGCUCAAACAUGAUGUGAAUCUGUGCGGCACCAGGAGGAUCGAUGAAGAGCUGAAGAUUGAGUGCCCCUGGUGGAUUGUUAUGCUUCUACAUCGCCUGAGUAUUCUUGUUUGCCAUUUGUGUUGGUGAUCGAGUCUUUGUGCCGAGACUGGUCCUUGCUCCAAUGUGAGCUCCUGUUGUGGCCUGGUUAAAAAGACUUGUAAUGGCUCGUAUCAUGGUCUGUUAGGUUGUCCUAGUUGUUUUGGUGUCACUGGGUUUUUGCCCCAUGGUGAACUGCUCGAUGAUGGAUGUUUACCGUGGGUUUCCAGUGAUGCUUUGAACUCGCUUUCCCCUUUCUAGGUUUCGUUGGUGUCAACUGAACUGAUGUAUUUCCGUUAUGCGAGUAAUGGAAAGGGGUUAUGCCCUAUUCAGAAAAAAGUGUGAA
rnacentral:lncRNA from 1 species